rnacentral:rRNA from 1 species
AUUGAGCGCUGGCGGCGUGCCUAACACAUGCAAGUCGAGCGGUAACAGGUGUAGCAAUACAUGCUGACGAGCGGCGAACGGGUGAGUAAUGCUUCGGAAUCUGCCCAUGUAGUGGGGAAUAACCAGCCGAAAGGUUGGCUAAUACCGCAUACGACCCUUGUCCACAAGGCAAAGGUGAAAGCAGGGGAUCGCAAGACCUUGCGCUAUUGGAUGAGCCGAAGUCGGAUUAGCUAGUUGGUAGGGUAACGGCCUACCAAGGCGACGAUCCGUAGCUGGUCUGAGAGGACGACCAGCCACACUGGGACU